rnacentral:misc_RNA from 1 species
GAGAUCUGAAAGGGAGAUCAGGGAAUCAAAAUUUGCUGAGUUAACGAAUAAACAUUUUGCAGCAAGUGCAGUUCCAAAAGGCAUUCACUGUCUUUCACUGCGUUUGACUGAUGAAUACUCGACCAAUGCUCAUGCACGCAAGCAGUUGCCUUCACCAGAACUACUCCCUUUGCUUUCUGACAACUCAUUGCACCAUUUUGUACUGUCAACUGAUAACAUCCUAGCUGCAGCAGUUGUCGUCAGUUCUGGC